UACGUAGGGCGCAAGCGUUGUCCGGAAUUAUUGGGCGUAAAGAGCUCGUAGGCGGUCUGUCGCGUCGGCUGUGAAAACCUGGGGCUCAACCUCGGGCCUGCAGCCGAUACGGGCAGACUAGAAUUCGGAAGGGGAGACUGGAAUUCCUGGUGUAGCGGUGGAAUGCGCAGAUAUCAGGAGGAACACCGGUGGCGAAGGCGGGUCUCUGGGCAGUAACUGACGCUGAGGAGCGAAAGCGUGGGGAGCGAACAGG
rnacentral:rRNA from 1 species